UCUGACUGUGCUGUCCCGGAGCGAGGCAGCUUCUGCCCUGGAGAAACUAUCUCCCUGCUUCCAACUACGCAAAAUUCAUUGGUAACGGGCGGCGGCCCGCGGGUGAAACGCCAGAGUGGUCUGCUGAGCUGUUGCUGGGGCAGAGACGCCAGUGGACCGACCGCUGUGACUGCAGCUUCCUGAUAUUUUUUGUGUUCUUGAUAGUUCAGCAACAGAAUGACGGGGUCUCGGGGGGCUGGAGCCAAUCCAAGCGGGGUACACCCUGGACAGGUCGCCAGCCUAUCGCAGGACCACAUACAGAGACGGACAACCAUUCACAAGUUGGUCAAUUUAGACUCUCUCUUUGGACUGUGGGAGGAAGCCGGAGAACCCGGUUUGUUCAAACCGGGAUAUAUGUUUAGUGCCAAUUACGCCAGCAUACUCAAGUGAGAAGGUGGAGAUGGUGAACAUUAUUGUUAAACGUCAUGCAUUAGUAUUUUCAGAGUGAGCAUGUUAGCAUACUGACGUGUCUAACUAAACACUUUACAGAGCUGUAAACUCUCUGUCCUUGUUUUUCAAGGACAUGUUUUUUUCUAGGUACAGAUUAAACCAAUAAUUGCAAUUUGGAUCACUUUAUGGAGAUCUGUUGUCAAUUUGAAAUCAAAGGCUCUCUUUUGUUAAUUGUUGCAUUGAAAAAAAUCAUAUUAGAUAAACAAUAAAAUAACACUUCCAAGGGGGAGAACACCACUAUAUAUACACCAAAAGCUAUAGCUACACCAAGAUUUGACAUAGCAACACCUAAGCAGCACCGAGAAUUUGUAAAAAAAAAUAUAGGAAACAUAUCUUUGAAUAAUUUAUUUGACACAAUUUUGAAAAUUAGGCAGCAACAACAUGCUGUCAUAUAGCAAUUACAAAGCAAGAGGAGUGAAAAAUUCAUGUAUGUGUAUCCAUGUAUGUUCUGUUAACUGAACCCUUCCCUUCACCUUGUAGCAUAGUCUAGUAUUUUAAUAGCAGAGGAACUGUGUUGAGGAAGCUGCAGACAAGGUUAAAUAAAGCUGUAUUGUAACAGAAA